UCCGGUGAUCUGAGCGAGGGGAAAAGAACCCGAUCCCAUCUCGAACUCGGCCGUUAAACCCCUCAGCGCCGAUGGUACUGUGUCUCAAGACCCGGGAGAGUAGGUCAUUGCCGGGC
rnacentral:rRNA from 2 species